GGCCAAUGUCCAAAAGAAUGAAACCAGCUUGCUGGUUGGAUUAGUGGCGAACGGGUGAGUAACCUCCGAAAAAACCUGCCCUUGACUCUGGGAUAAGCCUGGGAAACUGCGGUCUAAUACCGGAUAUGACCGACUAUCGCAUGGUGGUUGGUGGAAAGCUUUUGUGGUUUUGGAUGGACUCGCGGCCUAUCAGCUUGUUGGUGAGGUAAUGGCUUACCAAGGCGACGACGGGUAGCCGGCCUGAGAGGGUGACCGGCCACACUGGGACUGAGACACGGCCCAGACUCCUACGGGAGGCAGCAGUGGGGAAUAUUGCACAAUGGGCGCAAGCCUGAUGCAGCGACGCCGCGUGAGGGAUGACGGCCUUCGGGUUGUAAACCUCUUUCAGUAGGGAAGAAGCCUUUCGGGGUGACGGUACCUGCAGAAGAAGCGCCGGCUAACUACGUGCCAGCAGCCGCGG
rnacentral:rRNA from 1 species